UAUGACCAUAUCAUGUUGAAACAGUUCCCAUAUGAUCACUGAAGUUAAGCAACAUCGAGCCUGGUUAGUACCUAGAUUGAUAACUGCUUGCGAAUACCAGGUGAUGAAG